rnacentral:rRNA from 1 species
UAAUUUGAGAGUUUGAUCCUGGCUCAGGACGAACGCUGGCGGCGUGCCUAAUACAUGCAAGUCGAACGAACUCUGGUAUUGAUUGGUGCUUGCAUCAUGAUUUACAUUUGAGUGAGUGGCGAACUGGUGAGUAACACGUGGGAAACCUGCCCAGAAGCGGGGGAUAACACCUGGAAACAGAUGCUAAUACCGCAUAACAACUUGGACCGCAUGGUCCGGGUUUGAAAGAUGGCUUCGGCUAUCACUUUUGGAUGGUCCCGCGGCGUAUUAGCUAGAUGGUGGGGUAACGGCUCACCAUGGCAAUGAUACGUAGCCGACCUGAGAGGGUAAUCGGCCACAUUGGGACUGAGACACGGCCCAAACUCCUACGGGAGGCAGCAGUAGGGAAUCUUCCACAAU